CUGACAACCGUCUAAAGAGACACGUGUGUCAAUUCGACGAGUCAGGCAACAGGGCCGAGGAAUUCACGGAUUAAAAAGGAAAAGAAUUAAACCAAAACUAUUAUCACAUGUGAGCAACGUGCGCAGCGAAUUCACAAUUAAAUUGACGACGCUGAAUCACGAAGCCAGACUGUUAAGCCAUCACUGACAACCGCCACGUUGGACCUUUUGACCUGAAGAAUCCUGAAUUGAGAUAAGCUUUUAAAUUAUGUAUAUUAUAUAGACAAGUUCAACAUGUAAAAUAUUCCGAAAGAAUGAGUGUGAAUGAAUGAGAAGCGUUAUAAAUGUAAGAGCUUUGUCGUUUUGUUAAAAAUCUCAUAAUUAUCGUUGACUUAUUGGUUAUCUUGUUGACUAUAAUCAACUCAAUAAAUUAAUUUGUUUCGAAGUUCAAAAUA